rnacentral:antisense_RNA from 1 species
ACAAAAGCGGGCUUGCCCGCGAAUGCAUGAGGUCAGGGGACAGCUUAGCCUGAACUGACGCAUUCGCGGGCAAGCCCGCUCCUAC